UGGGGGAUAUUGCACAAUGGGCGAAAGCCUGAUGCAGCGACGCCGCGUGGGGGAUGAAGGCCUUCGGGUUGUAAACUUCUUUUGCUCUGAACAAGGCGCACCAUGGGGUGUGUUGAGUGUAGGGGUUGAUUAGCGCCGGCUAACUACGUGCCAGCAGCCGCGGUAAUACGUAGGGCGCGAGCGUUGUCCGGAAUUAUUGGGCGUAAAGGGCUUGUAGGUGGCUGGUUGCGUCUGUCGUGAAAGCUCAUGGCUUAACUGUGGGUUUGCGGUGGGUACGGGCUGGAUUGAGUGCAGUAGGAGAGGCUGGAAUUCCUGGUGUAGCGGUGGAAUGCGCAGAUAUCAGGAGGAAUACCGGUGGCGAAGGCGGGUCUCUGGGCUGUUACUGACACUGAGGAGCGAAAGCAUGGGGAGCGAACAGG
rnacentral:rRNA from 1 species